GAAGGGUUUCUGUAAAACUGAUGUCUUUGGUAGACUUUGCUGAGCUCUGCCUGUUGGUGGCACCAAAGACGCGCGUCUUACUGAGGUGUGAGGAGUAAGUCCGGCUAGGUAUGAGCAGAGCAAUUGUUAAAUGCAGUAUAGCUAAUGUUUUCUGCCUGUGAGUCGCCCUCCUUUCACAGAAUGUCGGUGUGCAUACCUCUGAGUGGUGCUGCUCAGGUGCCUCUUGCACAAAGGGCCGGAAUUGGCAGCUGAGACAUCAAAAGGCGGGGGCUGUGAGGCUCGGGGAAUGGAGCCGAGCUGAUUCUCUUCUGAGUAAUUAAAGUGCCAUAUUCAGGCUCGUUUAACUGAUUGGUCGAGUCCACUUGCACUGCUGGUUUCUUAUGCAGUAGGGCUUUGCCUUCAGCAGCUGUUCCGGGUGAUCAUGCAGCAGCAGCUGUCCUUCGGUAGGUCUGCGCUCCUCUUGGCUGGCCUGAGCAGCCAAAGGCUGUGCCUGGUGCAGGCUGCCUGCCUGUAAGGGCACCCUCAGACAAACGGGCGGUCCGCUCACAGGUGUGUAAUGAGGGAGUGCUUGACAUUUCUCUUUUCCCGUAUUCACACCCAGCUGUGUGCAGGAGGAAUCGCAGAGCUGUUAGAGCACUGCAUGCUGCCUCAGUAGCUUUCUUCUGCCGUGGCAAAAGUGCCACCCUGUUCUCAGGCUGCCAUUUAGAUCCCUUUACUUGUCUGCGUUCAGAAGGCUGCUCAUUACUCGCCUGGGUCCAGAUUUGUGGAUUUUUUUCCCAGAUUCAUUGAUUUUCUUUGAUGUGUCAGCUGUAAUCCUCUAAUACUCUUGGUAUUUUCCAUUUUCCCCCCUCUGAAAAUACCCCUGAAACGGCCUGUCACUGCCGUGAAGAGAAAUAAUCCCCUCAGCUACUCUAAGGACAGCCUUGUUGAACACAUUACUUUUCAGAUGUCUUGGAUGUAACAGUUGUUCAUAUGCAGCCUGUGAUUUUUUUUUUCCCUGAUAUGGUUUCAAAGCAUCUACUACACUGUUGUUUCUGGACAAAAAAAAAA